rnacentral:rRNA from 1 species
UACAGAGGUCUCAAGCGUUGUUCGGAUUCAUUGGGCGUAAAGGGUGCGUAGGUGGCGCUUUAAGUCGGGUGUGAAAUUUCGGAGCUUAACUCCGAAACUGCAUUCGAUACUGCGGUGCUUGAGGACUGGAGAGGAGACUGGAAUUCAUGGUGUAGCAGUGAAAUGCGUAGAGAUCAUGAGGAAGACCAGUGGCGAAGGCGGGUCUCUGGACAGUUCCUGACACUGAGGCACGAAGGCCAGGGGAGCAAACGGG